GCUGGGUUUGGACACUGAGUGCCACCACGUGC
rnacentral:piRNA from 1 species